UACGGGGGGGGCAAGCGUUGUUCGGAAUUACUGGGCGUAAAGGGCUCGUAGGUGGCCAACUAAGUCAGACGUGAAAUCCCUCGGCUUAACCGGGGAACUGCGUCUGAUACUGGAUGGCUUGAGUUCGGGAGAGGGAUGCGGAAUUCCAGGUGUAGCGGUGAAAUGCGUAGAUAUCUGGAGGAAUACCGGUGGCGAAGGCGGCAUCCUGGACCGGCAUUGACGCUGAGGAGCGAAAGCUAGGGGAGCAAAGCGGGG
rnacentral:rRNA from 1 species